UACAGAGGGGGCAAGCGUUGUUCGGAAUUACUGGGCGUAAAGGGCGCGUAGGCGGCCGACUAAGUCAGACGUGAAAUCCCCAGGCUCAACCUGGGAACUGCGUCUGAUACUGGACGGCUCGAGUUCGGGAGAGGGAAGUGGAAUUCCAGGUGUAGCGGUGAAAUGCGUAGAUAUCUGGAGGAACACCGGUGGCGAAGGCGGCCCCCUGGACCGGUACUGACGCUGAGGCGCGAAAGCGUGGGGAGCAAACAGG
rnacentral:rRNA from 1 species